rnacentral:rRNA from 1 species
AGUGGAAGCGUCUGGAAAGGCGCGCGAUACAGGGUGACAGCCCCGUACACAAAAAUGCACAUAUUGUGAGCUCGAUGAGUAGGGCGGGACACGUGGUAUCCUGUCUGAAUAUGGGGGGCCCAUCCUCCAAGGCUAAAUACUCCUGACUGACCGAUAGUGAACCAGUACCGUGAGGGAAAGGCGAAAAGAACCCCGGCGAGGGGAGUGAAAAAGAACCUGAAACCGUGUACGUACAAGCAGUGGGAGCACGCUUAGGCGUGUGACUGCGUACCUUUUGUAUAAUGGGUCAGCGACUUAUAUUCUGUAGCAAGGUUAACCGAAUAGGGGAGCCGAAGGGAAACCGAGUCUUAACUGGGCGUUAAGUUGCAGGGUAUAGACCCGAAACCCGGUGAUCUAGCCAUGGGCAGGUUGAAGGUUGGGUAACACUAACUGGAGGACCGAACCGACUAAUGUUGAAAAAUUAGCGGAUGACUUGUGGCUGGGGGUGAAAGGCCAAUCAAACCGGGAGAUAGCUGGUUCUCCCCGAAAGCUAUUUAGGUAGCGCCUCGUGAAUUCAUCUCCGGGGGUAGAGCACUGUUUCGGCA